GAGGCAUAGCUCAGUUGGUUAGAGUGCAUGCUUGACAUGCAUGAGGUCGCUGGUUCGAACCCAGCUGUCUCC
rnacentral:tRNA from 1 species